ACACAUGCAAGUCGAACGAUGAACCACUUCGGUGGGGAUUAGUGGCGAACGGGUGAGUAACACGUGGGCAAUCUGCCCUGCACUCUGGGACAAGCCCUGGAAACGGGGUCUAAUACCGGAUACUGAUUGUCUUGGGCAUCCUUGAUGAUCGAAAGCUCCGGCGGUGCAGGAUGAGCCCGCGGCCUAUCAGCUUGUUGGUGAGGUAACGGCUCACCAAGGCGACGACGGGUAGCCGGCCUGAGAGGGCGACCGGCCACACUGGGACUGAGACACGGCCCAGACUCCUACGGGAGGCAGCAGUGGGGAAUAUUGCACAAUGGGCGCAAGCCUGAUGCAGCGACGCCGCGUGAGGGAUGACGGCCUUCGGGUUGUAAACCUCUUUCAGCAGGGAAGAAGCGAAAGUGACGGUACCUGCAGAAGAAGCGCCGGCUAACUACGUGCCAGCAGCCGCGGUAAUACGUAGGGCGCAAGCGUUGUCCGGAAUUAUUGGGCGUAAAGAGCUCGUAGGCGGCUUGUCGCGUCGGUUGUGAAAGCCCGGGGCUUAACCCCGGGUCUGCAGUCGAUACGGGCAGGCUAGAGUUCGGUAGGGGAGAUCGGAAUUCCUGGUGUAGCGGUGAAAUGCGCAGAUAUCAGGAGGAACACCGGUGGCGAAGGCGGAUCUCUGGGCCGAUACUGACGCUGAGGAGCGAAAGCGUGGGGAGCGAACAGGAUUAGAUACCCUGGUAGUCCACGCCGUAAACGGUGGGCACUAGGUGUGGGCAACA
rnacentral:rRNA from 1 species